GACGAACGCUGGCGGCGUGCUUAACACAUGCAAGUCGAACGGAAAGGCCCUGCUUUUGUGGGGUGCUCGAGUGGCGAACGGGUGAGUAACACGUGAGUAACCUGCCCUUGACUUUGGGAUAACUUCAGGAAACUGGGGCUAAUACCGGAUAGGAGCUCCUGCUGCAUGGUGGGGGUUGGAAAGUUUCGGCGGUUGGGGAUGGACUCGCGGCUUAUCAGCUUGUUGGUGGGGUAGUGGCUUACCAAGGCUUUGACGGGUAGCCGGCCUGAGAGGGUGACCGGCCACAUUGGGACUGAGAUACGGCCCAGACUCCUACGAGAGGCAGCAGUGGGGAAUAUUGCACAAUGGGCGGAAGCCUGAUGCAGUAACGCCGCGUGCGGGAUGACGGCCUUCGGGUUGUAAACCGCUUUCGCCUGUGACGAAGCGUGAGUGUCGGUAAUGGGUAAAGAAGCACCGGCUAACUACGUG
rnacentral:rRNA from 1 species